rnacentral:rRNA from 1 species
GAUGAACGCUAGCGGGAGGCCUAAUACAUGCAAGUCGAACGGUAACAGGUCUAGCAAUAGAUGCUGACGAGUGGCGCACGGGUGCGUAACACGUACACAACCUGCCUCAUACUGGAGCAUAGCCUCGGGAAACUGAGAUUAACACUCCAUAAUGUUUCGAAGCGGCAUCGCUUUGAAACUAAAACUCCGGUGGUAUAAGAUGGGUGUGCGUCCGAUUAGAUAGUUGGUGAGGUAACGGCUCACCAAGUCAACGAUCGGUAGCUGGUCUGAGAGGACGAUCAGCCACACGGGCACUGAGACACGGGCCCGACUCCUACGGGAGGCAGCAGUAGGGAAUAUUGGACAAUGGGCGCAAGCCUGAUCCAGCCAUCCCGCGUGAAGGAUUAAGGUCCUAUGGAUUGUAAACUUCUUUUCUCUGGGAAUAAAAACUGGCGUUUACGCUGGCUUGAAGGUACCAGAGGAAUAAGCACCGGCUAACUCCGUGCCAGCCGCCGCGGUAAAAC